rnacentral:rRNA from 1 species
GAGUUUGAUCGUGGCUCAGGAUGAACGCUAGCUACAGGCUUAACACAUGCAAGUCGAGGGGAAACGAUAGAGAAAGCUUGCUUUUUCUAGGCGUCGACCGGCGCACGGGUGAGUAACGCGUAUCCAACCUGCCCUUUACUCGGGGAUAGCCUUUCGAAAGAAAGAUUAAUACCCGAUGGCAUAAUGAUUCCGCAUGGUUUCAUUAUUAAAGGAUUCCGGUAAAGGAUGGGGAUGCGUUCCAUUAGGUUGUUGGUGAGGUAACGGCUCACCAAGCCUUCGAUGGAUAGGGGUUCUGAGAGGAAGGUCCCCCACAUUGGAACUGAGACACGGCCCAAACUCCUACGGGAGGCAGCAGUGGGGAAUAUUGCACAAUGGGGGAAACCCUGAUGCAGCGACGCCGCGUGAGCGAAGAAGUAUUUCGGUAUGUAAAGCUCUAUCAGC